CAGACAUCAUGUCACACAAGUGUGCCUUUCACACACCAACACGAUUUGGAGCCGAAAUGUUUUCACGAAUAGAAUUUUGCUUGUACUUAAUUUCAAACGAUUUCAAUUGUUUGUUUCUUUGUUUUAUUGCGGGGAGAUUUGGGGGCGUGAACAAGCAUUGAUUGGAACAGGUGCUUUUGUCAGACGGACACUUUUGUUGGGUACACGGCCGUCUGAAGACCACACGUCGGGGAUUCCCUGCGUGGAUUUCGACAACGACGGCAAGGAGAUGGGCCGCCGCGUCCAAGUCGCGUCGGACGUCCCGCAACGUUUGGCUCAGCUCGCCGCCGGACCAUGCGCCGCCGCAGGAGCCGCACGAAUGGUCGCCUCCGCUGGAAGGCUAUUUGACAGACACCCCGUGAUUGGCAGGCGACCAGUCCGGCACGUGUGCUGGUAGUGGUCAUACUGUUGAAGAGCGACCAAUCUGUGUUCCAAUCAAUGUAGGGGGACCGCCCCAAUGUUUCUCUC